UGUUUGGUGUUGCCCUGGAGAAUACUGAUGCAUGCUUGUUUUGCGCUUGUGUGCUUUUGUUUUUUGCGUGCCAUUUAAAUAAGUUAAGUUAAGCUACGUUUCCCGCCUCCCUGCGUUUGGCUAUUUUUAUUCAACACACCACGACGACACCGUUGUGACAGGCUAUAUUUUUUUCAAUUCUGCUAGCCGAAACCCAGUCCUGUCUGACUGCAUUCUUUAGAACCCAGGCCAAGCCUGGCACAAGCCCCUUGGGCCUCCAGGUAACCGUUGGGACCUGUUGGUCCCUGUGACAGGAGGCCUGACCAUGGGCAUGUUGGGGGAAGCAGAGAAACCAUCCAAUGGACUCUGGGACAGCAUGCCAGGCUUGCAGGGAGGAGAGUUGCAGCUCUCGGACAAGCCAGAAGAUCACGAACCUGGAGAGACGUGUAAAGGAAAUAUGUUAGGCAAUCAUGCUGACAUCCAGCUGACAUCCACAGACUGUAGCCAAAUACACCACAUUUAUCUUGAACAACUUGCAGGGGAGAAACUGAGUUCAGUUCCUUGCUCAAGGGCACAAAGACACAUUAUUUUUGCUUUGUUGGCGCUAGUUUCCCAACCAGUUACCUUUGUUACUUGCCCAAUACGCUUACCACAAGGCAUCUGCAGAUACCCUGAUAUCUAUAGAAUCAUAACACAACACCUUCAAAAACGUAUCUCAUUAAUACUGUUUUUCUUCCAUUCCUAAAUCCAGGUGCCAUAUGUGGUAGAAUAAACUAGACUCAAUGUUGCAGUCUUACAGAGCAUCGCUUCCCUAUCCCAUACCCUCCUCUUUACUUCCGGAUCCCACUGCGAACUCCUACAUGCCAUCAGACACAUCAUAAACAUUCCUCAGGACAUUCCGCUCCCAGCGAAACGCAGGCUCUGUACCUUCAAAAUUCAUCCCGCCUUCAUUAUAUUCACAUAAGUGAUUACUGCUUUGAAGUUGGUUUUGAGUUCAUGUGUAGAUAAUACAGAAAUUCAAAAAUGGGUGCAGCUGUUUUGGUUAUCUGCAUACCAGUUUAUUUAUUUAUUAUGUGAGGAAGCAUAUUUCAGUCUCUGUAUGGACAACCAUUAUAUUCUUCUCUAAUGGGAUUCUGGUUAUUAUAUGCUCUGUCUGGCCCUGUCCAGCCCAUCACCACCUGUUUUUUUUUCAGGGAGGGGAAAUCGUCAGGGAUAGGUUAUUGAUAAUUCUGU